AUUGAACGCUGGCGGCAGGCCUAACACAUGCAAGUCGAGCGGAUGACGGGAGCUUGCUCCUCGAUUCAGCGGCGGACGGGUGAGUAAUACCUAGGAAUCUGCCUGAUAGUGGGGGACAACGUUUCGAAAGGAACGCUAAUACCGCAUACGUCCUACGGGAGAAAGCAGGGGACCUUCGGGCCUUGCGCUAUCAGAUGAGCCUAGGUCGGAUUAGCUAGUUGGUGAGGUAAUGGCUCACCAAGGCGACGAUCCGUAACUGGUCUGAGAGGAUGAUCAGUCACACUGGACCCGGGACACGGUCCAGACUCCUACGGGAGGCAGCAGUGGAGAAUAUUGGACAAUGGGCGAAAGCCUGAUCCAGCCAUGCCGCGUGUGUGAAGAAGGUCUUCGGAUUGUAAAGCACUUUAAGUUGGGAGGAAGGGCAGUAAGCUAAUACCUUGCUGUUUUGACGUUACCGACAGAAUAAGCACCGGCUAACUCUGUGCCAGCCGCCGCCGUAAUAC
rnacentral:rRNA from 1 species